CGAACGUGGGGUAACCUGCCCAUCAGAGGGGGAUAACAUUCGAAACGGAGUGCUAAAACCGCAUAGGUCUUCGAACCGCAUGGUUUGAAGAGGAAAAGAGGGCGCAAGCUUCUGCUGAUGGAUGGACCCGCGGUGCAUUAGCUAGUUGGUGAGGUAACGGCUCACCAAGGCCGUGAUGCAUAGCCGACCUGAGAGGGUGAUCGGCCACAUUGGGACUGAGACACGGCCCAA
rnacentral:rRNA from 1 species